rnacentral:rRNA from 1 species
UACGAAGGGGGCUAGCGUUGUUCGGAAUGACUGGGCGUAAAGGGCGCGUAGGCGGUUGACCAAGUUGGGGGUGAAAGCCCGGGGCUUAACCUCGGAAUUGCCUCCAAAACUGGUCGGCUUGAGUGUGGAAGAGGGUUGUGGAAUUCCCAGUGUAGAGGUGAAAUUCGUAGAUAUUGGGAAGAACACCAGUGGCGAAGGCGACAACCUGGUCCAUUACUGACGCUGAGGCGCGACAGCGUGGGGAGCAAACAGG